GUGAGGAAUAUUGGUCAAUGGGCGGGAGCCUGAACCAGCCAAGUCGCGUGAAGGAAGAAGGAUCUAUGGUUCGUAAACUUCUUUUGCAGGGGAAUAAAGUGCAGGACGUGUCCUGUUUUGUAUGUACCCUGAGAAUAAGGAUCGGCUAACUCCGUGCCAGCAGCCGCGGUAAUACGGAGGAUGCAAGCGUUAUCCGGAUUCAUUGGGUUUAAAGGGUGCGUAGGUGGUUUGAUAAGUCAGCGGUGAAAGUUUGCAGCUUAACUGUAAAAAUGCCGUUGAAACUGUCGGACUUGAGUGUAAAUGAGGUAGGCGGAAUGCGUGGUGUAGCGGUGAAAUGCAUAGAUAUCACGCAGAACUCCGAUUGCGAAGGCAGCUUACUAAGCUACAACUGACACUGAAGCACGAAAGCGUGGGGAUCAAACAGGAUUAGAAACCCUGGUAGUCC
rnacentral:rRNA from 1 species